rnacentral:rRNA from 1 species
UACGUAGGGGGCAAGCGUUGUCCGGAUUAUUGGGCGUAAAGAGCGUGUAGGCGGCCAGGUAGGUCUGCUGUGAAAACUCGAGGCUCAACCUCGAGAUGUCGGCGGAAACCAUCUGGCUAGAGUCCGGAAGAGGAGAAUGGAAUUCCCGGUGUAGCGGUGAAAUGCGCAGAUAUCGGGAAGAACACCCGUGGCGAAGGCGGUUCUCUGGGACGGUACUGACGCUGAGACGCGAAAGCGUGGGGAGCGAACAGG